rnacentral:rRNA from 1 species
GGGUCAGGAGGUUGGUCGUGCCACCGGUACGUACUGGUCUCACUGAUUCCUCCUUCCUGAAGAACCGUAAUGCCGUUAAUUUGGUGUUGCGGGGAAACAGGACUGUUACUUUGAAAAAAUUAGAGUGUUUAAAGCAAGCUAACGCUUGAAUACAUUAGCAUGGAAUAAUGAAAUAGGACGAUCGAUCCUAUUUUGUUGGUUUCUAGGAUUGACGUA